rnacentral:rRNA from 1 species
UACGUAGGGGGCGAGCGUUGUCCGGAAUUAUUGGGCGUAAAGAGCGUGUAGGCGGUUCGGUAAGUCUGCCGUGAAAACCUGGGGCUCAACCCUGGGCGUGCGGUGGAUACUGCCGGGCUAGAGGGUGGUAGAGGCGAGUGGAAUUCCCGGUGUAGCGGUGAAAUGCGCAGAUAUCGGGAGGAACACCAGUAGCGAAGGCGGCUCGCUGGGCCAUUCCUGACGCUGAGACGCGAAAGCUAGGGGAGCGAACGAGG